rnacentral:tRNA from 1 species
ACUUAAAUAGCUUAAUGUUUAGAGCGCGACAUUGAAGAUGUUGAUGAGACAUAAAUUGUCUUUGAGUG